UACGUAGGGGGCAAGCGUUGUCCGGAAUCAUUGGGCGUAAAGAGCGCGUAGGCGGUCCGGUAAGUCGGUUGUGAAAGUCAAGGGCUCAACCCUUGAAUGCCGACCGAUACUGUCGGGCUAGAGUCCGGAAGAGGCGAGUGGAAUUCCCGGUGUAGCGGUGAAAUGCGCAGAUAUCGGGAGGAACACCAAUGGCGAAGGCAGCUCGCUGGGACGGUACUGACGCUGAGGCGGCGAAAGCGUGGGGAGCAAACAGGG
rnacentral:rRNA from 1 species